UACGAAGGGGGCUAGCGUUGUUCGGAAUUACUGGGCGUAAAGCGCAUGUAGGCGGAUAUUUAAGUCAGGGGUGAAAUCCCGCAGCUCAACUGCGGAACUGCCUUUGAUACUGGGUAUCUUGAGUAUGGAAGAGGUGAGUGGAAUUCCGAGUGUAGAGGUGAAAUUCGUAGAUAUUCGGAGGAACACCAGUGGCGAAGGCGGCUCACUGGUCCAUUACUGACGCUCAUGCACGAAAGCGUGGGGAGCAAACAGG
rnacentral:rRNA from 1 species